UGUGUUCCCUCUCAUAGUCCAAGAUGGCUGAUUUAGUUCUUGCCAACAUACCUGUAUCCAAACCAUCUAAAGGAAUAAAGAGCUGGCACUGUAGCUUAUGCCUGUAAUCCCAGCUAUUCCGGAGGCUGAGGUAGGAGGAUCACGAGGCCAGGAGUUCAAGACCAGCCUGAGCAAGAUGGCAAGACCCUGUCUCUUAAAAAAAAAAGAGAGAGGGACAAAGGGAGACUGUGACCACUUCUUUUAAGAGCAUGAUCUGCAAGAGGAGCUUUAGAAAAUGGAUAUUCUGGCUGGGCGCGGUGACUCACGCCUGUAAUCCCAGCACCUUGGGAGGCCGAGGCGGGCAGAUCACCUGAUGUCGGGAGUUCAAGACCAGCCUGACCAACAUGUAGAAACCCCGUCUCUACUAAAAAUACAAAAUUAGCAGGGCUUGGUGGCGCAUGCCUGUAAUCCCAGCUACUCAGGAGGCUGAGGCAGGAGAAUCACUUGAACCCGGGAGGUGGAGUUUGUGGUGAGCCAAGAACACACCACUGCACUCCAGCAGCCGGGGCAAUAAGAGUGAAACUCCAUCUCAAAAAAAAAAAAGAAAGAAAAGAAAAUGGAUAUUCCUUUCCAUUGAGGAAGAUGGUUCAGAGAGAUUAACUUGACUUGUCCAAAGUCACAAACCUAGUAUAUGAUCCUGGAACUGAGACUCAGAGGCAGGCAGUGUUCUACACUGAAAAGAGCAUAGGGAAUGGCAAGAUUCCACAAGCUGGCAAGCUUGUAGUGAGAGAUACACAUGCACUGUUGGUGUAAAAUUGCUAAACAUCUCUAGUGAGCAGUUUUGCAAUGUAUUUUAAGUGACUAUCCCCUUUGAUCUAGCAAAUCCACUUACAUAUUACCUAUUUUAACUCGCAGAUAUUUCCAGGCCUAUGUGUGAGAAUAUUAAGUUCAAUAUUGUUGAAAUAACAAUAGAUUGAGAGCUAGUUAAUAAAUUAUAUUGCAUAUACCCAUUUAAUAAAAUACUAUACAAUUAUUAAAGAGUCUACUCUUUAUGGACUGAUAGGAUCAGAUCCAAACCAUAUUAAUAAAAUUAGCAAAGUACAGAACUGUGUAUGUAUUUUUUUAAUCAUUUGCCUUUAAAAAGAAAAUUUAUA
rnacentral:lncRNA from 1 species